rnacentral:rRNA from 1 species
AUUGAACGCUGGCGGCAUGCUUUACACAUGCAAGUCGAACGGGGUGAAGGGGCAACUCGUUCAUUCAGUGGCGAAACGGGUGAGUAAUACAGUCGGAACGUACCCCGUAGUGGGGGAGUAACUCGGCGAAAGCCGUGCUAAUACCGCAUAUGCUCUACGGAGGAAAGCAGGGGACCGCAAGGCCGUUGUGCUAUGGGAGCGGCCGAUGUCCGGAUUAGCUAGUUGGUGAGGUAAU